rnacentral:other from 1 species
UCGGCCCUGCUGUGUUCGUGGUCAAACUGACUUAUAGUAUUCCAACACUAAUGACGUUGGAACCUGGCUCUGGCGGCAGCGUGCAUGCCUCCUUUGAGGGGACGCAUUAAACCGGCAGGAGGGUUCCACCCUGGAGAUAUCGGGGAUAGUCAUAGGUCAGUGAUAGCGGCAUGGUGGGGCUUAC